UUGCUCAAACACACACACAGAGGCUCCUUCUGCGCUGUGGCCGCUGGCUAGUGAGAGCCAAUCCGCACCGCCCAGCUCACACAAAUACGUGUUAAUCAACCACCCGAACCUGAUCCGACCCGCAAACCCCCAACUUUUUUUUUUUUCCCGACCAUGUUUACUAAAUACCGGUAGGCUCAGUGAGAUGUGGCUGGGGAUCAACACGCUGCGGUUUUGUUGUGAAAUGUGUGACCUUUGGACUACCAACAGGAAAAACAAAAGGGGCAUCUAAGAAGAGUGAAGCUGCCUGCAUUCCCUGUUGUGAGACCAACAUGACACAAGACCAUGACUUUUGGUCACAUGAAGAUGCGGGCCAUCGCUCUAGCACCCUUCCAUGGUGGGGGCAGGAGGGCAAGGCUACCCUUACCGAGCCUGACUGCUCUGACACAGUCCAACAACCCAGCCAACAAAAAAAAACCCCACCAAUAACUGCCUUUGAAAAGGGAGAAUUUUGGGGGAGGAUCCUACAACAUAUUUAUGUCAGAGUCUGGAAAACAGACAUGCACACCUCACCUAUAGGGGAUCCUAGGUACACUACCAUCUGGGAGAAAGACAGUCUCACAAUAGCCAGCAGACACCAUCGCCAUCAAUCAUACUAACAAGCAAGGAGGCAUCCAGUAUCGGAAGGUCAGAUUGAGAUUGGCACCAGUGUUCCGGUUGAUCUCCCCCAUUCCAAUGCGACUCUGUUCCGGAAUAAAAGGAAAGAACACACUCAAAUAUCCCCAGUGUAACGGAGACAGAUAAAAGUGUGCAUAGAGUUGUGAUAACACACUGGGGAGGAAGAAAGACAAAAGCUUGUAGCUGAGGGACAUUGCACUCCUGUGAUGCAGCCAAGAAGGAGCAUUUGCAAACGCUCACAGUUAAAGACUUGUUAUUUCUUUCUGUUUCUAUAGUUUGACAGUAUUUACAGUUUUUGGAAAUUAAUUCACAUAUGUGAUCUCCCUCCUACCCUGACUUCAUAGGACCUUUUAGGGACCUACCCAUAGCAGGUUUUAAAGUUGUUCUGGUCCAAAUCAGUGGAUAAGUUGGUAAAUAUGUUGCGUUUUCCCCUUAGUUUGCUUUUCACAAAAAAAAAAAAAAAAAUCAAGCCAACUGACACAUGCAUUACUAAAAGGCAGUGUCCACUCUCAUAGGUCAGAUGUGUCUAAGGCAGAAGAAGAACCUAUCAGCCCAAUGAUCAAUCGAAGCAACACACAUUGUUGCUAGUCCUCUGAAGAGGACUAGCAACAACUUGAUUCUUUCUCUAGCUAGCAACAAGCGAUUAUUGAUUUCAUUCAUCCACAUCCCAGUAUGCAAAGCAUAAAUAGCUGUGUGUGAAUGUGUGUACAUGUGUGUUUCUACUGUAUGCAUGCAGAGGUUGCAAAGUAAUUGAAAGCGCACACUUGCCUUUCCUCCUUGCCACUCUUCUUUAUGUCUUUCCACACACCUAUUUCUCUUUCUCUUUCAUUAUAUAAGAUAUCUUGAUGAGGAAAAUGCUAAACACAUUUUUUGAACACA